AGCGAACGCUGGCGGCAGGCCUAACACACGCAAGUCGAACGAACCUUUCGGGGUUAGUGGCGGACGGGUGAGUAACACGUGGGAACGUGCCUUUAGGUUCGGAAUAACUCAGGGAAACUUGUGCUAAUACCGAAUGUGCCCUUCGGGGGAAAGAUUAAUCGCCUUUAGAGCGGCCCGCGUCUGAUUAGCUAGUUGGUUGAGGUAAUGGCUCACCAAGGCGACGAUCAGUAGCUGGCCUGAGAGGAUGAUCAGCCACAUUGGGACUGAGACACGGCCCAAACUCCUACGGGAGGCAGCAGUGGGGAAUCUUGCGCAAUGGGCGAAAGCCUGACGCAGCCAUGCCGCGUGAAUGAUGAAGGUCUUAGGAUUGUAAAAUUCUUUCACCGGGGACGAUAAUGACGGUACCCGGAGAAGAAGCCCCGGCUAACUUCGUG
rnacentral:rRNA from 1 species